GGUGGACACACGGAUGGUGACAGCCCUGGGCUGGCUAGGAGAGACAAGACCAGGAAAACAGCCAAGCAGGAGGGUCUGAUGGAUUCUAAAGAAACAAAGUAGCUGUGUAAUGAAGAACCAACCUUACCCAACAGAGGUCUGGCCUUUGUCCUCAACUGUGGAGAGGUGAUCUCUAGGUCCCUGGAAUGUCCUGCCCAACAAGAGUGUUUUUGUGAGCUUGGGGCUUAGGUCAUUGGACAGUCUAAUAAUGUGAUUUAUGACAGAGGCUUUGGGACACACCAUGUGAGUUCCAACCUCCAGAAGGGGCCGGAGACCAAAGGUCAGCCAUGUGGGCCAUAUGUGAUCAAGCUCCAGUAAAAACUCUGGACACCAAAGGCUUGGGUAAGCUUCCCUUCUUGGCAAUACUAUGAGCAUAUCAUGAACAUAUCAUGAUGAGGACUCCAUGACUCCAUGCAGAAAGGACAACCAGAAGCUCCGUGCUUGGACCCCUCCUGGACUCUGCCCUUGCAUCUCUUCCCUUGACUGAUUUUAAUUUGUUUUUAAAGUUUUAUUGAGUCAUAGUGGAAAGUGUGGAGCUGCCAGGAGAGAGGAGGGGUUGCAUCAUAUGGUGACAAAAGAAUGAAUCCCACCCAGAGGAAGCAGAGCCAAGAAAUGGAUCCCUGUUGUUUGAGUCCUGGAUCAAAUCGUGCCUGGAUCCCCAGUGAGCCAAUAAAUUUUCCUUAUUGCUUCAGCCUGUUUGAGAUGGUUUCAUUUCACUUGGAACAUUAAACUUUCU
rnacentral:lncRNA from 1 species